CUUCAAUUGUUGCAAAGUGAAGCCGGAGGAAAUGUUAGAACAUGAACAGAUCAAACCAGGAUGGAAUGGAGCCAACACGAAGACAAUAUAACAGUCUGUAAACAUUUUUUGUUUGUUUGUUUAUUUCCUUGUUUUUGGCAAAUAAGAAAUUGCUGAGAGUUGUCAGGUAUUUGUUCAGUAUGAUCUUUUACACUUUCUUUUAAAGUGGACUUAAUGAAAUUAAUAUAUGCUUUGGUGGGAUUGAAAAUCAUUGUGAUGUUUUGUUGCUAUUGCAAUGUAAAAUCAGAGAUAUUCAGUGAUGUAGUUGAAAAGGAUGUUUUUCAGAAACGGAUGGAUCAGAGAGUAUCAUGGGGCAGGACUCAGUCAGUCGUAUGUCUGGAAUUCCGCUAGUUCUGAACUAUUCGUGAUUGGCAAAAGUUCACUACUAGCAGAACUCAGAUAUACAACUGAAUUCUCAACGAAAGCUCAAGAUUAGCAGUUUGGUCUCAUAUGGCCUGCCAUUGGACAGCUGCUAUAUUCACGGCUGGAUUGAAUAUGACAAGAGCUCACUUCAUAUUCUUUCUUUGCACUUUUCUCUUGAUUUGGAAGUUAUCUACUUAUUGGAUGAAGUACAUGAAGUUAAGACCAUCCUUGGAGUGUUUACUCCAUUAAUUAUAACUGAAGGACUACGGACUUAAUUACAACCAGACAUAUGAGAUACUUCUCCGUUUUUAUGUUUUAGCUGUGGUCAAAUGGUGUGUUUGAGUCUGUUUGACACAGGAAGAAAUAAGAGCAAUGUGACAUUUAAUAUACAAACUGUUGUAUUGUAUGUCAAUAACUGCUACAUUUAACAACACAUUCUUUAUUUCUUUAAAUGUAUUGUACAUUUGUAUUGAUAUUAAUGAUUUUCUACUCAUUCUACCACUUCAGUAAGCCAAGUUACAAAAAAAAAAUUUUGACAUUAAAAUCAAAAAUCCCUAUUGUGUCUAUGUUUAUUAUUUACAAUCAUUGUAACACUGUUUUUCACAUUCCAAAGUCGUUCUGUCCACAGGAGGAGGUUACAUUAAGAGUGGGUUUAUUUCUCUGGUGCAACAGAGGAGACCUGGGUGACCUGAGAUGAAGAAGAAGCCUCAUCUUCCUCAAUAUUUUUGCCACAGACCAUCUUCAUCAUGCAGGACCGGAACUGGGUUUCAAAAGAAAAGAGCAGAACAUGUUACUUGAAGUGAGUAGUUAUGCCAUGUGAACAUGGCACUUGGUACUGUAUCCCUGUAGGGACAAACAUCAACAAUACUGCAAAUGUCCACAUAGCACAUAAUAGUAUACCUGUUUGUUCAUUAAGACAUAGAUGACAGGAUUGUACACUGUAGAGGAUUUAGAAAGGCAGGAUGGUAUGGUAGCCAUUCUCAGAUCAAAAGCUUCACCACGGUGGAAAACUAUCCAGAGAGAAAAGCUAGCAUAUGGUGCCCAGCAUAACAAGAAGCCGAAAACCAUCACCACCACCAUCUUUGUCACCUCCCUCUCUGCCUUCUGGGUCGAAGCAGAAUCUGCUUGAGCUUUGGCUGCCUGGUAGGACAAACGUUGGAUUUCAGAGCACCUGGCAACAUGAGCAACACUGCAAUAAUAUACAUAUACCGUCUCCAUCUAGUGGACACGAGCAAUGUGUAUCCUAAAGCAUUAAAGAGUGCGGCAGAGGAAUGAAAGACAUGUAUAAUUUAUUCAUGUAAAAAUACAUAAUGAAUGGUAUUUUAUCAGUAUUUAAAUGUUAAUACGAAUCUCACCUUUAUAAAAACAACAAAGUGUGUUCAUUUUAUGAUCUGAAUGUUCAGAAGGUUUUCAGAUCAAAAUAAAGAACAGAAAAUAA